rnacentral:rRNA from 1 species
AGUCGAACGAGAACGGGGAGCUUGUCCCGGGGAAGUGGCGAACGGGUGAGUAACACGUGAGUAAUCUGCCCUCGAGCGGGGGAUAACUCCGCGAAAGCGGAGCUAAUACCGCAUGAAACUUUGGAGCAUAAGCUUUCAAAGUCAAAGCUUUCGGGUGCUUGAGGAUGAGCUCGCGGCCUAUUAGCUUGUUGGUAGGGUAACGGCCUACCAAGGCAACGAUGGGUAGCCGGCCUGAGAGGGUGUUCGGUCACACUGGGACUGCGACACGGCCCAGACUCCUACGGGAGGCAGCAGUGGGGAAUUUUGCGCAAUGGGCGAAAGCCUGACGCAGCGACGCCGCGUGGAGGAUGAAGGUUUUCGGAUUGUAAACUCCUGUCAGAGGUGAAGAAAGCCCUUAUGGGUCUGACGGUAACCUCAGAGGAAGCCCCGGCUAACUACGUGCCAGCAGCCGCGGUAAUACGUAGGGGGCAAACGUUGCUCGGAAUUACUGGGCGUAAAGGGUGCGCAGGUGGCUGAGAAAGUCGUUGAUGAAAUCCCGGGGCUUACCCCCGGAACUGUCUUCGAUACUUCUCAGCUUGAGGAUAGUCGAGGAGAACGGAAUUCCCGGUGGAGCGGUGAAAUGCGUAGAUCUCGGGAGGACACCAGAGGCGAAGGCGGUUCUCUAGGCUGAUCCUGACACUGAG